rnacentral:rRNA from 1 species
CGUAUCACCCAAGACAACUUUACGGAGUUGACGAUUGACGGAGCGAAGCGACGUCAAAGCGUUCAUUAAAGUCGAGUUGGCUUAGGGAUACGUUCGUUGGGUAGGGGAGCGUUCUGUAAGCCUGUGAAGGUGUGUCGUGAGGCAUGCUGGAGGUAUCAGAAGUGCGAAUGCUGACAUAAGUAACGAUAAAGCGGGUGAAAAGCCCGCUCGCCGGAAGACCAAGGGUUCCUGUCCAACGUUAAUCGGGGCAGGGUGAGUCGACCCCUAAGGCGAGGCCGAAAGGCGUAGUCGAUGGGAAACGGGUUAAUAUUCCCGUACUUGGUGUUACUGCGAAGGGGGGACGGAGAAGGCUAUGUUGGCCGGGCGACGGUUGUCCCGGUUUAAGCGUGUAGGUGUGUGUUCCAGGUAAAUCCGGUUCACUUUAACACUGAGGCGUGACGACGAGGCACUACGGUGCUGAAGCAACAAAUGCCCUGCUUCCAGGAAAAGCCUCUAAGCAUCAGGUAACAUCAAAUCGUACCCCAAACCGACACAGGUGGUCAGGUAGAGAAUACCAAGGCGCUUGAGAGAACUCGGGUGAAGGAACUAGGCAAAAUGGUGCCGUAACUUCGGGAGAAGGCACGCUGACACGUAGGUGAAGUGAUUUACUCAUGGAGCUGAAGUCAGUCGAAGAUACCAGCUGGCUGCAACUGUUUAUUAAAAACACAGCACUGUGCAAACACGAAAGUGGACGUAUACGGUGUGACGCCUGCCCGGUGCCGGAAGGUUAAUUGAUGGGGUCAGCGCAAGCGAAGCUCCUGAUCGAAGCCCCGGUAAACGGCGGCCGUAACUAUAACGGUCCUAAGGUAGCGAAAUUCCUUGUCGGGUAAGUUCCGACCUGCACGAAUGGCGUAAUGAUGGCCAGGCUGUCUCCACCCGAGACUCAGUGAAAUUGAACUCGCUGUGAAGAUGCAGUGUACCCGCGGCAAGACGGAAAGACCCCGUGAACCUUUACUAUAGCUUGACACUGAACAUUGAGCCUUGAUGUGUAGGAUAGGUGGGAGGCUUUGAAGUGUGGACGCCAGUCUGCAUGGAGCCGACCUUGAAAUACCACCCUUUAAUGUUUGAUGUUCUAACGUGGACCCGUAAUCCGGGUUGCGGACAGUGUCUGGUGGGUAGUUUGACUGGGGCGGUCUCCUCCUAAAGAGUAACGGAGGAGCACGAAGGUUGGCUAAUCCUGGUCGGACAUCAGGAGGUUAGUGCAAUGGCAUAAGCCAGCUUGACUGCGAGCGUGACGGCGCGAGCAGGUGCGAAAGCAGGUCAUAGUGAUCCGGUGGUUCUGAAUGGAAGGGCCAUCGCUCAACGGAUAAAAGGUACUCCGGGGAUAACAGGCUGAUACCGCCCAAGAGUUCAUAUCGACGGCGGUGUUUGGCACCUCGAUGUCGGCUCAUCACAUCCUGGGGCUGAAGUAGGUCCCAAGGGUAUGGCUGUUCGCCAUUUAAAGUGGUACGCGAGCUGGGUUUAGAACGUCGUGAGACAGUUCGGUCCCUAUCUGCCGUGGGCGCUGGAGAACUGAGGGGGGCUGCUCCUAGUACGAGAGGACCGGAGUGGACGCAUCACUGGUGUUCGGGUUGUCAUGCCAAUGGCACUGCCCGGUAGCUAAAUGCGGAAGAGAUAAGUGCUGAAAGCAUCUAAGCACGAAACUUGCCCCGAGAUGAGUUCUCCCUGAGAC